CACAAGAACUCCAGGGAAGAAGUGAAGUUAGUAACAUGCAUUAAUGGGACAUAAAUGAGUUCAGAAAGAGAGGAAGAGGAAGAGAGGAGCUCAGUGCAUCAUGGGAAAUCCCCCGAUAGUCUAGGCCUAUAGCAGCAUAACUAAGGGAAAUCAAUCAAUCAUCAGUGUAUGAAUGUGGCUGAAUGGGGUGAGUGUGGCAUGUAGUGUACAGUCCAUUGAGUGGUCGAAACACUAGAAAGGCGCUAUAUAAGUACAGUCCAUUUACAUUAGCUUCUUCUCUUAGCCUCAGGUCCAUAUUCUCUACCCAUUUUUGACUGUUGACUGAAAAUAUAAUUAAAGGGGCACGCCACCAUUGUGGAGUGUGCUGGUGUUUCAGUAGCCCGUAUAGCCAGCUUGAGGAGCUGUACAAUUAGAGUAAGCAGCUCCUAAGGGCCCUAAGAAAUCCCUCAUACUGUUUUACAUUUGCAUUUCCCACAAGAAACAGCUUUCUUUAGGUUUCUUGGGAUUUUAAUUGUAGUUGAUUGCUCUCCACAUUUGCAUUUCACAAAGGUCAUCGUAAAAGUUGUAAAAGAGAGGAAAGGUUAUUACUUAAAAUCCUUGUGUGCCUUGCCUUCUGCUAACACAGCAUUCCUAAUGCCACUCAUAUUAUAAUUCAUUAAAUUGUAUAAUGUAUGAGAACACAGUACUAUACAUUUUCAGUUCCCUCUCACAUAAUGUUGCAUAGUCCAAGGUUGUUUACAUAAUAUGAAAAAACAUUUUAGUUAACUGAAAUAAAAAUAGAAACUAAGUAGACAAAACAAAAUCUAACUGAAACAAUAUAGUGUUCUCAUAAAACUAACUUUUUAACAUUUAAAAAAAUGUGUAUAUAUAGGAAAUGUAUUUUAUUUAAACCUAUUACUGCCAAUGUGACAGAAAAAAAAGAUUCCGUAAUGAGAAAUGUUUUGACUUUGUGAUACUAAGUCAUUAUUUUGAGAUACUAAGUCAAAGUAUUGAGAGAGUUUAGAUUUUUUGCAGUGUGACCUCAGUGUAAAGUCAUACCAGAAUGCAGAGCCGUUUCUUGAUUUAUGCGGACUAUGCGGCUGCAUAGGGCCCCGCAGCCACCAGGGGGCCCCCAAACUGCAAGUUCAGCCUCAUAUUUUAUUAUAUUUUGGAGAAAUAAAAGUACCUGUCUUUAUUUGCAUGUAUUGCAUGCAUUCAUUAUGCAUUUAUUUGCAAAGCAUGUAAGUGUUCGUUGGGUUAUCAGGUCAAUCACCUUUGGACUGGGCUGUCACGUGGUAAGUGACGUCUGCCGACAGGUCUGACGGGAUGAUUGACAGCCGCCCACCUUCCACUGAAGUGACGAGAAUAAAGGUAGACGCUGAUUACAACGUCAUUGAAACGUACUUCUGCGUCUGGUGCAGAGAAACGAAAAAAGGAGAAAACCGAUCACAGGAUCAAGGAGCAAUUUCCUACUUCAGAGGUCCAGUUCAAGGAGAGCCAGGUGGACCUUCAUCAGCUUCUGACCAGGAAGCAGAAGUUUUGAGGAGGAGAACGUAAGACUGAUCAUACAGAUCCUGAUCCUAAUGUUAAAGAGUUCGGUCUAGACCUGCUCUAUUUGAAAAGUGUCCUGAGAUAACUUCUGUUAUGAAUUGGCGCUAUACAAAUAAAAUUGAAUUGAAUUGAAUUGAUCACAAAGUAGUGAUGUUGUACAGUUAUAUAUGGUUCAUUUUAACUACAACUACAAUAUAUAACUACAUAACUAGUUUUUUUAUUUAUUUUUUAUUGAUUGUGCAAUAACAUGGAUGCUGGUCCAUUAUAUACUUAUUUAUUUAAGUAAGUUUAGUUAUUUAUUUUUUAUUGUUUUGGAAUGCCACCUCAAAGUUUACAUUAAACAUUUUUCAAGAA